UCCAAGUAUGCCAUAUAAGGAUCAGUCAUAUGGAUUACCAGAAUUUUGGCGUUUAUCUUUUGAAAUCACAAUAAUUUGAAGUACAGAAUGACAACUAUACCCGAUCCGGAAGUCUCGCCUACGUCUUUACGCGAUUGUGUCAUAUGCAUGGAAGCGAUAAUCGAAAACAGUAUGUUCUUGGAAUGUGCGCACGAGUUUCACAAAGAUUGCAUUGACCGGUGGUUCGCGUUGAAGGAAACUUGUCCGGUGUGUCGAUACAAUCAUGCCGAAGCUACUAAUAAGCCCGAAACUUCGUCAGCGGCUUUUUCGGUAUCAGUGACAGCACCAGUAGUGGUAACUCCUCGACAAGAAGCAGUGCAGAAUCGUCGAAGGAGCAGACGUCGAUCCAGAUCCAGUAGACCUUCCAGCAGUCGAAGUCGUAGUGGCAUUAGACGAUCGAGAUCUCGCCGGAGGUAGACACACAAUUGGGCGGGAGAAAAUUGUGUAGCAGUUGAAAAUUACUAGUUAAUGUUGCGAUCUAUGAAAAUCAUUAUAUUUAAAAUAAAAAUGUGUAACAAAGCAAAACAUAA